GCACAUCAUUACAUGGUCCAUAUUAUCUUUUCUCUAGUCUCUUUAUUAGACUUUAAGGAUGUUACAUGGAUAAUUUUUUGUUACAUGGAUAAUUCUAUGCCUUUGCUUCUUGUUAUGAUGAACAUUCAUAUGUGCAGGAUAAUGUUAACUUCGAGGAUUGCACCGACGAACAAGUAACGGUAUGUAUUCUCAAAAUGACUGCAAACAGGUACAG
rnacentral:lncRNA from 1 species